UGGGGAAUAUUGCACAAUGGGCGAAAGCCUGAUGCAGCAACGCCGCGUGAGUGAUGAAGGCCUUCGGGUUGUAAAGCUCUGUCUUUUGGGACGAUAAUGACGGUACCAAAGGAGGAAGCCACGGCUAACUACGUGCCAGCAGCCGCGGUAAUACGUAGGUGGCAAGCGUUGUCCGGAUUUACUGGGCGUAAAGGAUGCGUAGGCGGAUUUUUAAGUGAGAUGUGAAAACCCUAAGCCUAACUUGGGGACUGCAUUUCAUACUGGAAAUCUAGAGUGCGGGAGAGGAGAAUGGAAUUCCUAGUGUAGCGGUGAAAUGCGUAGAGAUUAGGAAGAACACCAGUGGCGAAGGCGAUUCUCUGGACCGUAACUGACGCUGAGGCAUGAAAGCGUGGGUAGCAAACAGGAUUAGAUACCCUGGUAGUCCACGCCGUAAACGAUGAGUACUAGGUGUAGGAGGUAUCGACCCCUUCUGUGCCGCAGUUAACACAAUAAGUACUCCGCCUGGGAAGUACGAUCGCAAGAUU
rnacentral:rRNA from 1 species